ACGAACGUUGGCGGCGUGGAUUAGGCAUGCAAGUCGAACGAAGCACGGUGGGCAACUGCCGUGACUGAGUGGCGAAAGGGGGCAGUAAUGCGUGGGUAACGUACCCCCUGGACCGGGACAACCGGCCUAACGGCCGGCUAAUACCGGGAGACGUAGCGAUGUCGCAUGGCGUUGCUACCAAACGGUCCGCCGCCGGGGGAGCGGCUCACGUGGUAUUAGCUUGUUGGCGGGGGUAACGGCCCACCAAGGCUAAGAUGCCUAGCAGGUGUGAGAGCACGACCUGCGCCACUGGCACUGAGACACUGGCCAGACACCUACGGGUGGCUGCAGUCGAGGAUCUUCGGCAAUGGGCGCAAGCCUGACCGAGCGACGCCGCGUGUGCGAUGAAGGCCUUCGGGUUGUAAAGCACUGUCGAGGGGGAGGAAGCCGCAAGGUUGACCUAUCCCUGGAGGAAGGACGGGCUAAGUUCGUGCCAGCAGCCGCGGUAAGACGAACCGUCCAAACGUUGUUCGGAAUCACUGGGCUUAAAGGGCGCGUAGGCGGGUGACCAAGUCCGGGGUGAAAUCUUUCGGCUCAACCGGAAAACUGCCUUGGAUACUGGUCAUCUCGAGGGAGGUAGGGGUCUGUGGAACUGAUGGUGGAGCGGUGAAAUGCGUUGAUAUCAUCAGGAACGCCGGUGGCGAAAGCGACGGACUGGACCUCUUCUGACGCUGAGGCGCGAAAGCUAGGGGAGCAAACGGGACUAGAUACCCCGGUAGUCCUAGCCCUAAACGAUGGGUACUAGGUUGUGGACUAGACAUGGGUUCACAGCCGAAGCAAAAGUGCUAAGUACCCCGCCUGGGGAGUAUGGUCGCAAGGCUGAAACUCAAAGGAAUUGACGGGGGCUCACACAAGCGGUGGAGCAUGUGGCUUAAUUCGAGGCUACGCGAAGAACCUUAUCCUGGGCUUGACAUGUGCGAAAGCGUUGGGAAGUAGCGGCCGGAAACGCGCCGCCAACGGUAUCCAGUCCGGAACCCAAUACAGGUGCUGCAUGGCUGUCGUCAGCUCGUGUCGUGAGAUGUCGGGUUAAGUCCCAUAACGAGCGAAACCCCUGCUUCUAGUUGCCAUCAUACAGUUGGGCACUCUAGAAGGACUGCCGGUGUCAAACCGGAGGAAGGUGGGGAUGACGUCAAGUCCUCAUGGCCUUUAUGCCCAGGGCUGCACACGUGCUACAAUGGCGUGAACAAAGGGACGCAAAAUCGCGAGAUCGAGCAAAUCCCAAAAAGCACGCCCCAGUUCAGAUCGAAGGCUGCAACUCGCCUUCGUGAAGUUGGAAUCGCUAGUAAUCGCGGGAUCAGCAAUGCCGCGGUGAAUGUGUUCCUGAGCCAUGUACACACCGCCCGUCAAGCCACCGAAAGCGGAGGGCAUCCGAAGUCGUCGGAGCCGCAAGGCAUACGCCGAAGAUGAAACCCGUGAUGGGGACU
rnacentral:rRNA from 1 species